UUUUAAGAAAAAAGUGCCCUGUGGAGCUCAGGAAUCAUCCGAACAGGCCCACGGAUUAAAGACCGCUACAGCCUGAUGUGGAAAUUGCAGGAAGCAGAUGGAACUGUUGACAGGAGCACUUUUCACAGGCCAGACUGAAUCUUGACACCAAUAGUCAAAUUUAAAGCAUCUUAAACAUAAAUACUAAACACCCCUAAUCUUUAAUGCUGCUAAUAUGCUUAAUUUGUGAACGUCUUGCAGGUGCGUGACUGGCUUUGUGUCUUUCAUCCUGAAGGCAUUGCAGGGAAGAUUUGUCAUUCCAGAUUUCUCUACUUUCACAGAGGAAACACAAAAGCUGUUUAUUAAAUGCAAAACAACUCUCCUCUGUGAAGGAGAAAGAAGAAGUAAGAGAGGGUGGCACGAAAUGGGG
rnacentral:lncRNA from 12 species